GGGUCAUUUUGAUCAUUUUUAAUGACAAAAAUAGAGGUGGAUCAAAGAGCAGGGACACUCGAGGCUCCAGUGAUAAAACCUUGGCUUCGACGAGAGGGUCCUGCAAGGAGGCACACGCUGGCUCCGGCUAUCCACGUGGACCUGGGGCCCGAGGGCCACCCCGGCUGACGUGGCGGGGCCCCCGAAGCUCCUCUUCCUGCUCUCCCCACCCUCACCGCCGCCGCAGGAAAGCAGCCCCCAGCCCCAGCGAGGUCCUCCCUGGGAACCAUCUUGUAGGUGAAAAUAAAGCAGCACUUUCAUCCAAGGAGCUCAGCACAAUCACUGAAAGCACAUGAAAUCACUUAGACCUGGGAGCCCGCAGCCCCCUUGGCUUAAUUACACGGCGGGCCGGGCUCUGCUGAAAGCAAUUAGAUCUGAGAUCCCCGGCGGAGGCACGCGCACACUGCCCCGCUCUCCACGAGCCGGCUGUCGUCCACACCCGCCCGCCCUCUCUCAGACGCCUUCUAAGGAUGGAGGCCUUGUGAAUUAGCUGUUUGUUCAGGUGGUUGAAGGCUCCCAGGGCCCGAAGGACAGAGCAUGAAGUUUCCUUCCCUCCUGUCCUUCCUCCAAGCCGCCAAGCUCCCCGCACGUGACCAGGGCCGGCCAUCCCUUUGGUGUCCUUCCGAAACCAGCGACGCCAUAAAUCCAUCCGUUUGAACAUAGCCUUUCUUCCAGAAGGCAAUCGCUUUUCCAACAGCGGGACUAUGAGCGUCCUAUGUCAUCUGCUGGUGUAAACAGCCAACCACUUCCCCCUGGACAAACAAGUUUGCUGCCGGCAGGAGAGCUCCCUGUUGAAAAUCAAAUAAAGCGCUUGAUUCCAGAUGAGAGCAUUUGGUUCCAGGUACCGCUCACUCGGUGAGCCGGGGCCGUCGCGCCCGGAGCUGGCUAAUGAGCAGGCGUGCGAUCCCCACCUCCCAGAUCACAACCCUGAAAGGCCCUUUUGUGGCGGGGAGGGGCCAGACCCCAGCCACAAUGCUCUCUUGUCAGAAGGGCCUCCUGGAGCUGCCAUGAGAGGGGGGCAGCUCUGCAAAGCAAAGCAGAGGGAAGGCAGUGAUUUUGUGGGGGCACCAGGUGGUGCUGUGCCCGCCACUUUUCGCCGACAGAGAAACAGGGCUUCCCUGGGGGACAUGGCAGCCAGGAUGAAAUUCAGAUCUGCGGUUCCAGCUCAAUACUACGUUAGAUGAUGGAGCAUAUUUGUUUAUCCACUCAUCCACUAAUGAACACUGGCUCUGCUUCCACCCACGGAUGUGCAAAUAUCUCUUCAAAACAUUAUCGUCGGUUCUUUUGGAAAUAUACCCAGAGGUGGGGUUCCCUGGAUGUUUUUAUGUGCACUUCCUCAAGAGUCCUAGUGAGGCUAGGCCCAUUUUCAUAUUCUUCGUGGACAAUCCAUGCUGCGUUUGACACAACAGUUAUGCGUGGUAUUGUUGCCUCUGUGUCUGCCUAGCCAUGACAUCACACACCGAUUGGCCACGGAGAAGAUGUCUGGCAAGUUCUGGCACAGGCCCUGGCCCCUUGCAGGGACUCAGUGAAUGUAUGUGUCUUCCUUAUUAUUUGCUGAAUAAAUGAAUGAAGGGGGUGAGCUGGAGUAGGGAGACAAAGGAAGAGCUACACCUCCCACAAAAGGCAAUUUCAUUUUCCAUUGUGAAAAUGAAGUGAGCCUCAAAGACAACGGGAUGGGGCGGGUGCUUGGUUUUGGGGUCUGGCAGGAGGAUCUGAAACAAACAAGGCAAGCAGGACCUUGCCAGGGAGUGGAGGCAGCCUCGUCAUCCUGCAGACAGUGACCUCACUGAGCUUGCUGGCUGCCUAACAUCCCAAAGAAGAGUGGUGCUGGAGCUGCCUGCGGGCCCCCGAUGGCCGUGGACAAGCUACUCUAGGGGGUGUCUGGCCCCACUCUGCACAGGGCUGUCGGCUGGACAGCGUUGCAGCUUCUCAACAAGCACAGCACACUGACAGCCGCCCAGGUGGUGUGUGGCGUCUAAGCGAUCUGUCAACGCAGUUCCCCUCAGCUCUGCACGGGAAGUGGGUCAGCAUCUCAGAGGACAGAGCUGGACCCCUGCCAUGCUGGGGUGCCAGCUGGUGCACAAGGAGAAGGCUAAGCUGGUGACGGCCCAUGGCUGCUAUGCCCAAGGACCCAGGUCAGUGUGAAGGCCAAGGGCUUUCCCAGGCCAAGAUCCAUCACCCCUCCUCCAGCAAAUGCCAGGCAGCCGAGGAGUCAGGAGAAGCUGAGCCUGUCCCCAGAAUGCCAGUCCCCUCCUUUGCAGACACGGUCUGUCAGCCGGCACCUCCUUUCCCCCUUCUUUCAUGGUAAUCGAAUUUUCCGCUCAGCAGUUGGCCACUGUCCGCAAAGAAUCCACUUCCAGACUUCCUUGCCGCUAGUUGUGGCCACGUGACCAGGUGCUGGUGCGAUGACGGCACGACGUGCCCUCCAGGGAAGCGGCGCCAAGCAGUGAACGAGCAGAGCAGACAGGCCCCGAGAAACCAAUACACACGCUGACCGCGGGGAACCUGGGCGGCCGUGCCAUCAUGUACACCAACCUCAACACCAGCCCUGGGGGUGCCCGCCCCUCAACCCUGCCCCUGCGUCCUUCCCCUGCCCAGCACUGGACUCGCUCAUGUGGAGCCAUGCACACGGGGGCAGCAGUCUAUGGCUGGCUGACAAACCAGAGAAACUACAGUUCUGGCCCCCGACACCAUGGACCUGCCCCUCAGCCCCACACGCUGUGUGGGACACCACCCACGGGCGGGCUUUAGCUUCUCCCUCGUUUAGACACACGGCAUCUGGACCUUUAUGGCCGCCGCCAAGCCCACACCUGCAAACACAUCUUCCACCCUCUCCUCCCCGCCCCCACACUCCAGCUUUGCUUUCCAGGCAAAUGAGAUGGGACAGUUUCUUCUACAACUUCCACUAUCUCAGUGCAGCUGGGGGCCUUUGAAUGGCUAUUGAUGGUCGGUGAUGAUCCCUCAAAAUGAAAUGUCCGUGUCCUAACCCCUGAAACCUGGGAAAGUGACUUCAUUUGGAAAAAGGAUCUUUGCGCGUGUAAGUUAAGAGUCUUGAGACUGGACUGGGGUGGCCCUAAAUCCUGGGACAGUGUCCUUAUAAGUGACAGAAGAGAACACACAGAGAAGAGGGGAAGCCAGGUGAGGACAGAGGCAGGGACCAGGCAAAGCAGCCAUAAGCCGAGGAUUCCUGGAGCCCCCAGGAUCCAGGAGAGGCAGGAGGGACCCUCCCCUGGAGCCUCUGGAGGGGGCAUGGCCCCUAGGGGUGUGUAUCUGACACCCCAUCAAUACCCCAACUGCAGACUUUUGGCCUCUCUGGGAAUGACUCCUGCUGCUUUACGCCACCCUGCUUGUGGUCCUUUGUUUCAGGGCCACGGGACACUCACACACUGGUUACUACUGCUCUCUGCCACCUUGGAGGUCUCUGUCUCCUUUCUGCAGAAGAUGUGUGGUUCCAUGUAAAAAGCAGGGGACAAGUGACCCAGGGACUUGCUACCAGCCCCAAGGCUCUCAGAUCCCUGCUUCUCCAAUGGCAUCUACCACCCCACACCCCAUCAGAGUCGACUCUGAGGACCUUGGUCCCAUGCCUGGCGGCCUUACUUCACUGCUCUCCGGCUUCCCUUCUCAAUGCUGGGGCCUGAGUGUGACCAAGUAGCCCCGCCACCUGGGCUCAAGUGACCCUCCCCCCACCC
ensembl:lncRNA